UACGUAGGGUGCGAGCGUUGUCCGGAGUUACUGGGCGUAAAGAGUGCGUAGGUGGUGCCCUAAGUCUGUUGUGAAAUCUCCCGGCUUAACUGGGAGGGUGCGGUGGAAACUGGGGUGCUUGAGUGUGGGAGAGGUAAGCGGAAUUCCUGGUGUAGCGGUGAAAUGCGUAGAUAUCAGGAGGAACACCGGUGGUGUAGACGGCUUACUGGACCACGACUGACACUGAGGCACGAAAGCGUGGGUAGCAAACAGG
rnacentral:rRNA from 1 species